GCCAUAUGAUGUGAAACAGAUUGCAUUAGCAUUUUUGUGCAAAGAUGACUCACUAUCUAUCACCCGAGACUGAUGGCU